CUUCUUCAGGAGUACAUCUCUUCCCUGAACGUCUCCUCGGCGUGAUGCAGUUUCGACGUGCCCUGCUGGCCCUGGCGAUGGUGGUGUUGGUGAUGGCGGCCCAGGUCACCGGCAAGGCGUGCUGCGGGGGUCAUCACGGUGGUCAUCAUGGCGGAGGGAACCACGGCGGAGGCAACCACGGAGGUCACAAUGGCGGACACGGGGGAGGAGGAGGAUUCGGGGGCGGCGGCGGCUUCGGGGGAGGUAGUGGAGGAGGAUUCGGUGGCGGUUUUGGCGGUGGUGGAGGAUAUGGGAAAUGAAAUCCCAGCCACUGACUAUCUUUCGGAAAGCAACAUCCUUUAGACCCACAAUCCUAUCUCUGGAAUCCUUACCCUGUCCUUCCUUCCUCCUACUCCUCUCAACCUCUCACUCUCCCUCCCCCUCCUUCCCCGAGAGCUGAGGACGCCCAACACCUGUCCGGGAGUCCUAGAAAGGUAAGACACGCAGCAGAAUCCCACGGUCUCUUCACUAUAGGAUACUCUGAGGAUAUCCUGCCUGUCUGUUUGUCUGUGUGUCUGUUUUUGUUUUUCGGUGAUACUAAAGAAAAAAAAAUUGUAAUGUUUAUAAAAUGUUAAUUCUUGUAGCUUUUGUCCAGCAUUUUUCGGUGAGCAAAAUUUUGUAUCACUUCAUAAUAACUGUUAAUUGUUAGUUUUUUGUUAUCUGUUAUUUGUUAAUGAUUAAACAAUUGGUUAUA